ensembl:snRNA U1 U1 spliceosomal RNA
AAGCAGGAGAGACACCGUGAUCAGGCGGGUGGGCUUUCCCAGGCUGAGGCUCACCCAUUGCACUUGGGGUGUGCUGACCUCUGCGAUUUUGCUCCCAAGUGCGGGAAACUGGACUGCAUAAUUUGUGGCAGUGGGGAACUGUGUUCACUCUCUCCCCU